GAUGAACGCUGGCGGCGUGCUUAACACAUGCAAGUCGAACGGAAAGGCCCUGCUUGCCGGGUGUUCGCGUGGCGAACGGGUGAGUAACACGUGGGUGAGCUGCCCCCUACUUUGGGAUAAGCGCGGGAGACUGUGUGUAUAACUGCGUAGGGCCAUGCUGUUGGUGGUGUGGUGGGGAGAUUUGUUUCGGUUGGGGUUGAGGGCGCGGCCAUUCAGUUUUUUGGUGGGGUAUUGGCUGACCAAGGCGUCGACGGGUAGCCGGCCGGGGGGGGUGGCCGGCGACAUUAUGACUGAGAUGCGACGCAGCAGCCUACGAGAGGCAGCAGUGGGGGAUAUUGUACAAUAGGGGCAGGCCGGAUGCAGCGGCGCCGCGUGGGGGGUGACGGCCUUCGGGUGGUAAACACCUUUCGGCGAUGACGAAGAAGUUGUGGUGACGGUAGUGGUAGAAGAAGCACCGGCUAACUACGUG
rnacentral:rRNA from 1 species